rnacentral:tRNA from 1 species
AAUAAGGUGCCUGAUUAAAGGACUAUUUUGAUAGAAUAGAAUAAGUAUGCAAAUACCCUUAUUA